AUAGAGCAGAGGAAUGGGUGAGAGAAAUGGAACUAAACAACAAUAACUUUCACCAAUAUUUAGCUCAAGCCUGUGAAAAUGACCCUAAUGUUAACGUGAAUUUUAAUAAAGCAAUGAUGUAUAUUUCUGUUCAAACC